rnacentral:rRNA from 1 species
GACGAACGCUGGCGGCGUGCUUAACACAUGCAAGUCGAGCGGUAAGGCCCUUUCGGGGGUACACGAGCGGCGAACGGGUGAGUAACACGUGGGUGACCUGCCCUCAGCUCUGGGAUAAGCCUGGGAAACUGGGUCUAAUACUGGAUAUGACUCCACGGUGCAUGUCGUGGGGUGGAAAGCCUUGUGCGGCUGAGGAUGGGCCCGCGGCCUAUCAGCUUGUUGGUGGGGUGANGGCCUACCAAGGCGACGACGGGUAGCCGGCCUGAGAGGGCGACCGGCCACACUGGGACUGAGACACGGCCCAGACUCCUACGGGAGGCAGCAGUGGGGAAUCUUGCGCAAUGGGCGAAAGCCUGACGCAGCGACGCCGCGUGAGGGAUGACGGCCUCGGUUGU